ACUAACGCUGGCGGCGUGCUUAACACAUGCAAGUCGAACGGAAAGGCCCUUCGGGGUACUCGAGUGGCGAACGGGUGAGUAACACGUGGGUGAUCUGCCCUGCACUUUGGGAUAAGCCUGGGAAACUGGGUCUAAUACCGAAUAGGACCGCGCGCUUCAUGGUGUGUGGUGGAAAGCUUUUGCGGUGUGGGAUGGGCCCGCGGCCUAUCAGCUUGUUGGUGGGGUAAUGGCCUACCAAGGCGACGACGGGUAGCCGGCCUGAGAGGGUGACCGGCCACACUGGGACUGAGAUACGGCCCAGACUCCUACGGGAGGCAGCAGUGGGGAAUAUUGCACAAUGGGCGCAAGCCUGAUGCAGCGACGCCGCGUGAGGGAUGACGGCCUUCGGGUUGUAAACCUCUUUCACCAGGGACGAAGCGCAAGUGACGGUACCUGGAGAAGAAGCACCGGCCAACUACGUG
rnacentral:rRNA from 1 species